rnacentral:lncRNA from 1 species
AUGGAUAGACUUCAUAGCUUCAUCAAGGGCUGAUUUUAAAUGAGCUAGUGGAUCUUCCCUUGCAGUGGAUCUCAAAGGUUCUGAUAUGGGCUUCAAAGCUUCAUCAAUUACUGAUUUUAUCUGAGCUAAUGGAUCCUGAGUAGUGUCCCUAACAGGUUUAGGUCUUGAAUCCUGCCGGUUAAUGUGAGAUGCAUCAGCAUGGCUAUUCUUUACCUGAACAUUAAUCCUGAGAGGGUUCAGUUUCUG